ensembl:processed_transcript Gm19569 predicted gene, 19569
GAAGUACCGCCCCGCCGCGUACCUUGAGCGCGGGGUAGCGAAAGAGUCGGUUCUGGCUUUCCGACACCCCCUCCUCCUAACCCCGCUUGUGCCCUGUGUCUGCGCACACUCGCUGGCAGGCCCUACGACCUGAGAGCAUCUUCGGUGAGCAGGACUUAUCUGAGAUGUACGUGUCACCCACUUCCUGGUGCCACCAAAAGCAUGAAUGUCAGUCUUCAAAAAUCUUCUAAAAGAUGCUCCGAGAAGAAAGGAGAUGGCAAAGGUGCGCUUCUGCACUAGCUCCACCUUAGCCAGAUGUGCUUUGGGGGUUAACCUGGGCUGAAGUACGGAAAGCACUGGUGCAGGAAGGCAGAUGACUCCUAUAGCUGGCUCCUGUAUUUCUUCCGCAGCACCCUGCGUCUUACAAAGGGGAGAUUGCAACCCACGCUGUAGUUUGGGGCGAGGAGCACGGCUCUUCCUUUGCUCCUCACAGGUUCCUGUUACCACAGCCAGACAUUUGAACCCCUUUUCUUCUGUUUUCACAGUUAACGAUACAAAAUAACCAAACUCACUCCUCAUGAACAGUUGAUGACUCCGUUUUAGGCCAAAUACAAUAGCUAAUAGACUGUUUUAAGAGUCUUCUCUGACUCCCCACCCAGCAAAGGAAGCCUUAUGCUCCCUCAGCUCAAAUCUGGAGUCACCAACAUCACAAUAUGCAGAAGAUUGAAAAUUGAGCUUGCUUAGUAACCAAGACAGAGUUUGCUCUGAAACUUUUUUUCAUUGUCUCUUCAGUAUUUUUAACUGCACAGGACACGUGCCCAGGGGGAGAGGGGGAGAGAUACAUAAAGGUUUCGUCUCUAUCAAGAGGAUCUCUUGUCUUAAUUGAUGAAGGAGGAAAUUUGAUGUGUUUUUACCUCAGAAUUAUCACCUAGGCUUGAUGGUUACAGCCAGUACCUAAUUCCUGCCACUAUGCUGACUUCACUUUUUAAUCUGACUUGGUGCCUGCAUUCUUGAGGCGGACUUUGAGCCUCCACUCCUCCUUCAUUCUUGCAUUCCAGAAGCGUGUAUAAAGCCCAUGUCCUGCCACCUCCCAUGGAAAACUCUGAUUCCUGAUUGAGACAUCCAAGAAGAUACGUCACUAACUUUGUGGGUUUUCCAACUGCUUUUUUUUUUUUUUAAGUUAUAGAAAGCUGACCUACUCAGUUUAAUGUUGUUGUAUUUUGUUUUGUUUGGUUUGGUUUUUCAGAAAUACUCACACUAGAUGUUUUAAUAAAUGAUAAGUAUGUUUUU